ACACUCCUACGGGAGGCAGCAGUGGGGAAUAUUGCACAAUGGGCGCAAGCCUGAUGCAGCCAUGCCGCGUGUAUGAAGAAGGCCUUCGGGUUGUAAAGUACUUUCAGCGGGGAGGAAGGCGAUAAGGUUAAUAACCUUGUUGAUUGACGUUACCCGCAGAAGAAGCACCGGCUAACUCCGUGCCAGCAGCCGCGGUAAUACGGAGGGUGCAAGCGUUAAUCGGAAUUACUGGGCGUAAAGCGCACGCAGGCGGUCUGUCAAGUCGGAUGUGAAAUCCCCGGGCUCAACCUGGGAACUGCAUUCGAAACUGGCAGGCUAGAGUCUUGUAGAGGGGGGUAGAAUUCCAGGUGUAGCGGUGAAAUGCGUAGAGAUCUGGAGGAAUACCGGUGGCGAAGGCGGCCCCCUGGACAAAGACUGACGCUCAGGUGCGAAAGCGUGGGGAGCAAACAGGAUUAGAAACCCUAGUAGUCCCAU
rnacentral:rRNA from 1 species